rnacentral:lncRNA from 1 species
AACAUGUUGUCCAAUUGUCUUUUCUUUAUUUAUUCCUCAGCCCCUUCCUGGAGACCCUGUCGGCUGUCUGAACUGGCCUGGUUACUCUCCUAAUCUGCAAGGGCAUUUGAAAUAGAUCAUGAGAGGUAGCACAGCAAUUUUCAUUCCAUCAUAUCAGGUGAAAUUGCUGUCUCUGGAAAAGAAAAGAAAAUUUAUAUCUGGUAUGAAAUCUUCCAUCGUUUAGAGCAAGUAUCAAUCUUUACUUUCAAUCCAUUUGCCACAGUCAGCCAGCAUCACUCAAAACAAAUGAAGCUGUUCUGUAAAUUCUUCACAGUGUAAAAUGAACUCUUUAACUUAUUGCUGGGCAUUAAAAUGAACUUUCCAAUAAAAAUACCGACUAGGUAUCCAUUGUAAGCCUCC